AGUGAACGCUGGCGGUAGGCCUAACACAUGCAAGUCGAACGGCAGCACAGUAAGAGCUUGCUCUUAUGGGUGGCGAGUGGCGGACGGGUGAGGAAUACAUCGGAAUCUACUUUUUCGUGGGGGAUAACGAAGGGAAACUUACGAUAAUACCGCAUACGACCUACGGGUGAAAGCAGGGGAUCGUCGGACCUUGCGCGAUUGAAUGAGCCGAUGUCGGAUUUGCUGGUUGGCGGGGUAAAGGCCCACCAAGGCGACGAUCCGUGGCCGGUCUGAGUGGAUGGUCGGCCGCACUGGAACUGAGACACGGUCAAGACUCCUACGGGAGGCAGCAGUGGGGAAUAGUGGACAGUGGGCGCAAGCCUUGUCCAGCCAGACCGCGUGGGUGGAGAAGGCGUUCGGGUUGUAAAGCCCUUUUGUUGGGAGAGAAAAGCAGCCGGUUAAUACGAAGCUGUUCUGACGGUACCGAAAGAAUAAGCACCGGCUAACUUCGUG
rnacentral:rRNA from 1 species